UUCGAUUCUGAUUAGGAUAAUUAAGGUAUAUUCUCUGUCUGAUGUGUAUAAGGGUAGCGCAUUUGUGUAGGCUCUUCCAUGAACCUCCCUUUUUUGUUUGUAAAACAGCACACAACUGGCAAUGAGUCAUUAUUCUGCAGUAGUCAAUAUGCGCAUGCGCAAACAAAUUUUAUUGGAUUUAGAGCAUGGGUUUAUUCAAAAAGCGAAAGAAGCAUGUCAUAUUAGAAUAACAAAUUACUUUUUUCAUUUAAAUCUACCAGAAACUUUCUAAACACUGCAAUGCAAAGAAUUAUAAAUAUGUCUUGGUAUUCUUACCAUCAUGUUUAUAAGUCAGAGAAUAUUGACAUUUUAUCGCUCUUUGUUUUACAGAGGGUCAUUAAUUGUUCUCCCUAGGGCCUUAUGGUGCUAUGUUGCUAUUUGAAAAUAGUUUUAAUUUU
rnacentral:lncRNA from 1 species